UAUCUCGCUCCUCUCCUUGUGGGGUCGCUCAGAAACACGACAAGAAAACAUUCGGCAUGGGGCGCCGCGAAUGCUCCGCGGUUGUACCCAAAUAGGCAGCGCUAUAUGUACAACAACCACGUUUUCGGUACAGCAGGAUACUUCGCGGAAAUCCUUGCAGAAAAACUGCUGGGAUAUCCUGUAACGUGGGAAGAGUUGUUAAAAUUAUAUUUUUUCAAACCAUUGGGAAUUCAGCCUGACGUUGACAUAGCAGGCUAUAACUUCACAUCAUUUUCAAGAUUGUCAUUACCCUAUAUUUUGUCGGAGACUGACGGUUAUCGCGCAAUGGACGAGAAGACAAUAAGCCUGAUCGAGCCGCUUGGGCCUUCUGGUGGUGCCUGUUUAACUCCCAACGCAAUGGCUGUUUGGAUGCAGUUCCUGCUCGACCGGGGGCGGUUCAAGUCUAGACAGCUGAUUUCACGUAGAACUUUGGAAGACACAUGGAAAUCGCGCAUUUCCGGUUUGCCCAACCCACCGGACCAUCCUGCAUCAAACUUAGGAAAUCGGACGUUUACAAUAAAGGAAU